GAUGAACGCUAGCGGCAGGCUUAACACAUGCAAGUCGAGGGGCAGCAUAAACAUUGCUUGCAAUGUUUGAUGGCGACCGGCGCACGGGUGCGUAACGCGUAUGUAACCUACCUCAAACAGGGGCAUAACACUGAGAAAUUGGUACUAAUUCCCCCAUAACACCUGAUAGGGCAUCCUAUUAGGUUGAAAGUUCCGGCGGUUUGAGAUGGACAUGCGUUGUAUUAGCUAGUUGGUGAGGUAAUGGCUCACCAAGGCGACGAUACAUAGGGGGACUGAGAGGUUAACCCCCACAUUGGUACUGAGACACGGACCGAAACUCCUACGGAGGCAGCAGUGAGGAAUAUGGUCAAUGGACGCAAGUCUGAACCAGCCAUGCCGCGUGCAGGAUGACGGCUCUAUGAGUGUAAAC
rnacentral:rRNA from 1 species